GACGAACGCUGGCGGCGUGCUUAACACAUGCAAGUCGAACGGAAAGGCCCUGCUUUUGUGGGGUGCUCGAGUGGCGAACGGGUGAGUAACACGUGAGUAACCUGCCCUUGACUUUGGGAUAACUUCAGGAAACUGGGGCUAAUACCGGAUAUGAGCUCCUGCUGCAUGGUGGGGGUUGGAAAGUUUCGGCGGUUGGGGAUGGACUCGCGGCUUAUCAGCUUGUUGGUGGGGUAGUGGCUUACCAAGGCUUUGACGGGUAGCCGGCCUGAGAGGGUGACCGGCCACAUUGGGCCUGAGAUACGGCCCAGACUCCAACGGGAGGCAGCAGUGGGGAAUAUUGCACAAUGGGCGGAAGCCUGAUGCAGCAACGCCGCGUGCGGGAUGACGGCCUUCGGGCUGUAAACCGCUUUAGCCUGUGACGAAGCGUGAGUGACGGUAAUGGGUAAAGAAGCACCGGCUAACUACGUG
rnacentral:rRNA from 1 species